GACGAAUGCUGGCGGCGUGCCUAAUACAUGCAAGUUGAGCGAUGAAGAUUGGUGCUUGCACCAAUUUGAAGAGCAGCGAACGGGUGAGUAACGCGUGGGGAAUCUGCCUUUGAGCGGGGGACAACAUUUGGAAACGAAUGCUAAUACCGCAUAACAACUUUAAACAUAAGUUUUAAGUUUGAAAGAUGCAAUUGCAUCACUCAAAGAUGAUCCCGCGUUGUAUUAGCUAGUUGGUGAGGUAAAGGCUCACCAAGGCGAUGAUACAUAGCCGACCUGAGAGGGUGAUCGGCCACAUUGGGACUGAGACACGGCCCAAACUCCUACGGGAGGCAGCAGUAGGGAAUCUUCGGCAAUGGACGAAAGUCUGACCGAGCAACGCCGCGUGAGUGAAGAAGGUUUUCGGAUCGUAAAACUCUGUUGGUAGAGAAGAACGUUGGUGAGGGUGGAAAGCUCAUCAAGUGACGGUAACUACCCAGAAAGGGACGGCUAACUACGUG
rnacentral:rRNA from 1 species